AGGACGAACGCUGGCGGCGUGCUUAACACAUGCAAGUUGAACGGUAUGACAUGGAAGCUUGCUGAAGUGUCAUAUAGUAGCGGACGGGUGAGUAAUGCAUGAGAAGCUGCCAUUGGGAGGGGGACAACAGUUGGAAACGGCUGCUAAUACCCCGUAUGCCGGAAGGUGAAAGGGAGCGAUCCGCCCGAUGAGGUGCUCAUGUCCUAUCAGCUGGUUGGUGGGGUAACGGCCUACCAAGGCGACGACGGGUAGCCGGCCUGAGAGGGUGAACGGCCACACUGGAACUGAGAUACGGUCCAGACUCCUACGGGAGGCAGCAGUGGGGAAUAUUUGGGGCAAUGGGGGCAACCCUGACCCAGCGACGCCGCGUGGGGGAAGACGGCCUUCGGGUUGUAAACCUCUUUUGUACGGGAAGAAGGAAGUGACGGUACUGUACGAAUAAGUCCCGGCUAACUACGUGCCAGCCGCUGC
rnacentral:rRNA from 1 species